AUUGAACGCUGGCGGCAGGCUUAACACAUGCAAGUCGAGCGAGCGGCGGACGGGUGAGUAAUGUCUGGGAAACUGCCUGCUGGAGGGGGAUAACUACUGGAAACGGUAGCUAAUACCGCAUACCAUCAGAUGUGCCCCGAUGGGAUUAGCUAGUAGGUGGGGUAAUGGCUCACCUAGGCGACGAUCCAUAGCUGGUAUGAGAGGAUGCACAGCAACACGGGAACUGUGACACGGUCCAGACUCUUACGGAAGGCAGCAGUGGGGAAUAUGGCACAAUGGGCGCAAGCCUGAUGCAGCCAUGCCGCGGGUGUGAAGAAGGCCGUCUGGUUGUAAAGCACUUUCAGCGAGGAGGCGUUACUCGCAGAAGAAGCACCGGCUAACUCCGUGCCAGAAGCCGCGGUAAUUC
rnacentral:rRNA from 1 species